rnacentral:lncRNA from 1 species
UGCUGACAUUGGUGCUUCCCACUUUGUUGUGAACCUCACAAGACACAGGCUCCGUGAAAAAGGAAUAAUCCACAUUUGUCUCAUAGCGACUCUCGUGGGCGUCUUCAAUCAAGAAACCCCCUUUGGCCCACCUGUAGCCCAAGAUCUCGGGGUUGGCUGUGGCCUGGCAGGUAAAGACAACACGCUCACCCUCCUGCACCGUCUGUGGCUCAAUGGACAGGGUCACUGUAGGAGGGUCUGCAAAGUAGAGCACAGGGAGUCAGGGUCUUUUCUGUCCCUUGAGUUUCUUUUUCC